rnacentral:rRNA from 2 species
CUCUGGUAUUGAUUGGUGCUUGCAUCAUGAUUUACAUUUGAGUGAGUGGCGAACUGGUGAGUAACACGUGGGAAACCUGCCCAGAAGCGGGGGAUAACACCUGGAAACAGAUGCUAAUACCGCAUAACAACUUGGACCGCAUGGUCCGAGCUUGAAAGAUGGCUUCGGCUAUCACUUUUGGAUGGUCCCGCGGCGUAUUAGCUAGAUGGUGGGGUAACGGCUCACCAUGGCAAUGAUACGUAGCCGACCUGAGAGGGUAAUCGGCCACAUUGGGACUGAGACACGGCCCAAACUCCUACGGGAGGCAGCAGUAGGGAAUCUUCCACAAUGGACGAAAGUCUGAUGGAGCAACGCCGCGUGAGUGAAGAAGGGUUUCGGCUCGUAAAACUCUGUUGUUAAAGAAGAACAUAUCUGAGAGUAACUGUUCAGGUAUUGACGGUAUUUAACCAGAAAGCCACGGCUAACUACGUGCCAGCAGCCGCGGUAAUACGUAGGUGGCAAGCGUUGUCCGGAUUUAUUGGGCGUAAAGCGAGCGCAGGCGGUUUUUUAAGUCUGAUGUGAAAGCCUUCGGCUCAACCGAAGAAGUGCAUCGGAAACUGGGAAACUUGAGUGCAGAAGAGGACAGUGGAACUCCAUGUGUAGCGGUGAAAUGCGUAGAUAUAUGGAAGAACACCAGUGGCGAANGCGGCUGUCUGGUCUGUAACUGACGCUGANGCUCGAAAGUAUGGGUAGCAAACAGGAUUAGAUACCCUGGGUA